GCCGGCGCGGCCGGGGCUAACCCGUGGCGACCUGCGCUCCGGGCGCGGUCGCCGGCUCCUCGGUGUCGCCGGCUCGGGCCUGCCCGCUGCCG
rnacentral:tRNA from 1 species